AAACGAUAGCUAAUACCGCAUAAGAGUAAUUAACACAUGUUAGUAUUUAAAAGGAGCAAUUGCUUCACUGUGAGAUGGACCUGCGUUGUAUUAGCUAGUUGGUGAGGUAAAGGCUCACCAAGGCGACGAUACAUAGCCGACCUGAGAGGGUGAUCGGCCACACUGGGACUGAGACACGGCCCAGACUCCUACGGGAGGCAGCAGCC
rnacentral:rRNA from 1 species